AGGCUCUCUUGUCUGAAACUCCAACUUCUGCCUUCCGGGACCCAUUCAGAUUCUCUUCCAAGAUGUCCAACCUUUGGAUUUUUGGCUCACUUCUUAGUUUAACACAAUGUCCUAGGCCCAGUUUUCUCAACACUUUGGGUGAGAGGCUCCUCCUCAGGGACCCACACAGGCCAGGCCAAACCCAAAUCCACCCCCCAGUAAGAGUUCUAUUGAGUUCUAUUGAGUCCUGGUGCUAUGGGAGGAACAACCACAUGGGCAGAUUCUCAAUAUUCUGCCCUGCUUCUCCACACAAACACAAGCAUGUCAGAUGGUGUAUCCUAGACCUGGGUUCGGACAAAAUGGCUACCACACACAUAUGGUCAACAGGCUUCCAGCAGGAAGCUCCCUGGAUGCUCCUGAGAGCAAAGGUAACUCCAGGCGACAGAUCUGAUGGACAGGCGGGCGGGCAAGAAGGAGCUGCUGAGAGAGGCCACUGCUGCCAGGAGCUGAUGUGGGGGAGGUGGCUGGCCUGCCUCCCAUCACCCGCACCCCAUCUCAGCCCACAAUGAGAUGGCUCGAGCCUAAAAAGGCAAAAGUUGUGAGUCAGUUGUUGCCUUGCUUCCCGCCCUCAGCUCGCCAAAUUCCUGCCAAAUUCCUUCUCCCCCUCUUCUUCACCCCCUCAUCUUCUCUCGCGGCCAUCUUCUGAACCAAGCUCCUUAACUUGUCUCAAAAGUCAUCUGGGCUUCACAGACUGCCUUUUGUUUCUCCGAGGAGUCUCAGAAUCUUGUGACACACAGCUAGGGACACCUUGGGACGCAAGCCUGACAGAAAAGCCACGGAGUUUCCAAGGUCAUGACCCGGCAGCUGCCCCCUUUUCUCCUUUCUCUAAUCCUCCCUGGCCAGUGGGGUCUUUCUCCGAGAGUGUCCCCGAGUCCUGUGUUACAGAUGGAUCUUGCAGAGGGCUUGAAGAGGUGGGGAGGCAGAGACCCGGGUCAGGCCAAGCCCUUGUCCCUGGGCUGCCAUUCCAGCCACUGCUGGGGAAGGGGCCCAGCUGAGGAGGGACAGGUGAACCAAAGCCAGCUGAGAGGUGACGGGGAGCCCCGGCUAUUCCACAGGGAGCUUCAUGAGCAGGCUCCAGCCUCUUGGGUCAAGUGCUGCUGCUGCCUUCUCUUGGGAUCUCUGACAAUAGCGAUCUUUUCCUUCUGAAGGUCCUUCUGGCCAGCAUGGUCAGCCAGGGGAGGUGACCAUUUUCUGCUUCUUACUACGGAACCAGCCUGGUCUGCUGGGGUUUCCUCGAGUGAAAAGAAGAUAGCAAAAAGGUGUUUCUGGUGGCUUUCAGCUCUGGGGAUUUUCCCCAGGACUGGGAUUCCAGGAUGCAGCUUCCCAGAAUGUUUGAGGCCCUACAAGGCUUAAAUCCCUUGCAAGGUCUUGGAGCGCCCUCUAGGGACAGCAGCAUGCAAGUCAUGUGCUCUUUUUACCCUCCGUCCUACCAAGUUUAUUCCUGGUUCAUUUGUUCCUUCCUUCAUUCAUUCUCUGAGCAAAUUAGCACUGGGUGCCUCCUCUAGGCGAGAUCAUGCUAAGGACUCUGCCCCAAGAGGAACUGCCCGGAGCUUAGGGUCUCAGUGGCUCAGGAUGGGCUGGGGCAGGGCAGUGAGACGAGGACAGGUGGAACAGCAGUUUCCGCCAUCCUCUCUCUCGUUGCCUCGGGCUGUCAGAUCUUGGGGAGUCCCCAGUGCAGCGGCCCAUCCACGUGUGCAGCCCUGGUCCAGCACCAGAGGUGACCCCUGUCCCAGCCUGACUCAACGAGGGCUGGCGGGUCUGGGGUGGUGGAGAAUGAGUCACUGGCCAGGAGUCAGGAGUGACUCAAAAGUAAGAAAACCAGGGCUCCCUUCCAGCUGCCGCAGCAGUGCCCAGCGGUAGAAACCCUGUCGAGCCGGAGGGUCGCCCUCGCUUUCUGCAGACCGUGGAGAAAGUGUGGGGACUGGCGGCUCGGAAUGGGAUGGUGUCCUCGUCCCUAACUCAGGGCUUCCAGGAUCCAAAGAGCUGACACUCCAGCCAUCCCAGCCCAACUCCUGUGGACAGAAUCCAAUCAUACACAGUCCCGGCCUCGGUUUCCGCCUUCAAGUUUCAGAGAGCUCGGAGCCCAUGCUUGCUAAGCCCCUUUCAACAGCGAACGUGCAGAUUCUUAGGGUUCCACGGCCCCAGAAUCGAGGGCGGAGGAUGGAAGGUCCCAGCCCGUUGGUGAAUGCUUCCCGGAGUCUGCAGCAGAAAUCAAGCCAACCUCCUCCCCGCCCCCCGCCCCUCACAUCCUGGAGGCGGUCAGAGAAGACACCAUGUAAGUUCUGGUGCUUGCUUGGAGCUGGAUCCUGGAAGCUGUUGGCCCGUUGCAAAGCUGUGGUAGAAAAAAGAAAAAAGAAGAGAG